UGGGGAAUCUUGCGCAAUGCGCGAAAGCGUGACGCAGCAACGCCGCGUGAGGGAAGACGGCCUUCGGGUUGUAAACCUCUUUCAGUGGGGACGAAGGCCGGCCGGUGAAUAGCCGUGUCGGUUGACGGUACCUUCAGAAGAAGCUCCGGCUAACUACGUGCCAGCAGCCGCGGUAAUACGUAGGGGGCUAGCGUUGUCCGGAAUCAUUGGGCGUAAAGCGCGCGUAGGGCGGGCCCGGGUCAGUCCGUCGUGAAAGUCAAAGGCUCAACCUUUGAAUGUCGAUGGAUACUGCCGGGCUAGAGUCCGGAAGAGGCGAGUGGAAUUCCUGGUGUAGCGGUGGAAUGCGCAGAUAUCAGGAGGAACACCAAUAGCGAAGGCAGCUCGCUGGGACGGUACUGACGCUAAGGCGCGAAAGCGUGGGGAGCGAACAGGAUUAGAUACCCUGGUAGUCCACGCCGUAAACGAUGGGCACUAGGUGUGGGAGGUGUCGACUCCUCCCGUGCCGUCGCUAACGCACUAAGU
rnacentral:rRNA from 1 species